GGCGUAGUCGCAGGCACCGGUUCCGGUCGCGCCCCCAACACCGACCCCCGCCGCUGCUGCUGUCGCCCGGUGUCCGGUAUAUGCUCCAUUGGCCGCCUGCUGGUAGUAGGUGGAUGCCGGGUACGGUUUGUCCUGGUGUGCGCCGGGUCCGCCGGUGCUGUAUGCCACGGCUGCGGUAACGGCUGCUGCCCCCGGGUAGUGCCUAAGCGGGUGGUCGGCGGCGUAUCCCGAUGAGUAGAGAGGUAUCUGACCCAAAAACGACUCUGCUGCCGCCGCCUGCCCGCUUCCACCCGUUCCCGGUAGCGUCACCGGGAAAGAGGAGUUGACAAAAUAGGAAUUCAUCAGGAGAAAGAAGAAAAAGAGGAGAAGCCGGAAAAGAGGAGAAGAGGAGAGGGGAGGACAGGAGGGGACGAAACAAACACAAUAACAACGUUCACUCGAUGAAGAAGGAGAAGGAGGAGGAGUAGGCAGAGGCUAACGGCUAGCAGCUAACGGUUCUCCCUCCCGUCCUGCUUCCUCUGCCUUCCCCUGCCUGCACUUUAUGAUUUGUUGUGUUUUAUAGCCGACAGUCCGACGGGCUGCCGCUAUCACUUAGUGUAUCGCAGAUUGGGAGGAGGGGGGGUGUAUUAGGUGGGCUGAGUGCCAGUGUGGGACGGAGGGGCGUGUGGAGGGUGGGGGGCAACAGAGAGAACCUCUCCGUGUGUAUGCGAUCGGAGAACACGGGACGGGGCGAGAAGGGGUAUCGGGUGGGGGGUUGGGGGGCAGACACCAGCUGACCUCGAACUGACCAAUGGGACGCGUCUGUGCCUGGCAUUCGUUCGCUCUUUUCCUUUCGUUGGAGAGGAAGAAGAAGAGGAAGAGGAGGAGGACGCUCCGUUUCCUCUCCACUUUGUGGGAACGGGAAGCAACAGCAUUGUGUUGGAGCUGACUGUGGUGUAAUCAUUAAUGAGCACUAACAGUCGGGACAGGACAGGCAUGGCCUACAGCCUGGGACACACACAAGACGAUGCAAUUGCAGUUGGGAGAAGCGAGCGGCAGACGACACGAAAUAGCAGAGCAAAGAAAAAAAACGGAUGCACCUAAACUUUGGAAACAUUUUGCUAUUUGAGAACCGGAUGGUUGGUCCCUGUGCGAGUGUGUGUCAGGGAGAGGAGUGGGGUGGACAUAAAGGAAUAGCAGAAGGACAUAGUCUGCUUUAAAGCUAGUAAAGAAGUCACAUUUUAUGUCACAUGA